rnacentral:rRNA from 1 species
CUACUGGGGUUUCUAAUCCUGUUUGCUCCCCACGCUUUCGUGCAUGAGCGUCAGUGCAGGCCCAGGGGAUUGCCUUCGCCAUCGGUGUUCCUCCGCAUAUCUACGCAUUUCACUGCUACACGCGGAAUUCCAUCCCCCUCUGCCGCACUCCAGCCUUGCAGUCACCAAUGCAGUUCCCAGGUUGAGCCCGGGGAUUUCACAUCGGUCUUACAAAACCGCCUGCGCACGCUUUACGCCCAGUAAUUCCGAUUAACGCUCGCACCCUACGUAUUACCGCGGCUGCUGGCAC